GCAUACCAUGACUGCCCUGGCCUCAGCACUGGUUGAGCAAACCAUGCAGCUCCAGGGGCUUCUGGGAGGAAAGUGGAAUUGGGGGAAGCUAAGCACACUGUGCUGGGAGGGCUAGUCAGGGUGGGCAACCAUGCAUGCUGCUUUUGUCCAGGACUGCCUCCAGAGCAUCAGGAACUUUCUGUGGACACACUACCGUAUCGCUUCCACCCUGACCUGCACCAGCCUGGCCCUCACGGUAGUUACCAGUUCCUUCCUGGCCCUCCCUCUAUCCUGCCCUGCCUUGCCCCUUUCCUGAUAGGAGGCAGUCCUGGGUUAUUGACCCCAGGCCAACGCGCUAGUUGUGGUACUACCAAGAUCUUCCAGGCCCAGUAUUCAGGGAGGCACCAGCCCCUGACCCAGGGAGGAGGGCCCAGUGCCUAGCUC
rnacentral:lncRNA from 1 species